GUGAAGAUGGGGGCCAGCUGAUCAACACAGGCUUUCGGACAGGCUGGUGAAAUGCUGUCUGGGCCUGAAGCCUUUCUUCUCCUUGGUCUUCCUGAAGACCUGACACACAUCAUCUUCACUGAACUGAAUUGAAAGUGUGACUUCACUCUAAAAAAUUAUUCAUGCAGUUAGUUUGUAAAACUUAAAAUAAACAAUAUUUUCAGCAUAAAAUAAUUAAGUUUGAAAUAUAUACUUGUAUUGGUGAGUUGAUAACUCAUUUUAAUAAGUCUUUCAAGAUUAAAAUAAAGAAUACUGUCUUAACUUAAUUAUAUAUCGAUUUUGAACACACACUUUUACCUUCUCGUAACAACAGAAAAAUAUUAAGUUAGUGAAACUUGUAUAUCUAGUGAGCAUCCUUUACAUGCUGAGUAAAGGCGGAAUUUGCCCGGACGUGUUUUUCUGCCAGAGAAGGACUACUAGGAGCCGGAGACACAGGAGAAUCGAGGCUAUAUAGGAUGAUGAGGUGCCACAAAUUUUGACCCAGCCAACGGCAGUAUUAUUAUUGAGGGAACGGAAGUCCUGCAAGACCUGGAUGUAUCCAGAGCCUGUGCCCUGCUAGGGCUGGUAUAUGCUCUCAACCUCAGCUACCCAAAGGAACUAAAAAAUACUUUUGAGGUGUUUCAGAAAAUAAUUCUUGAGCUGGAUGGUCUGAAAGCUAGGCCGAAGGUAAUGUCUUUAAACAAUAAACUGUUGUAUUCCUGAAA